GGAUGAACGCUAGCGGACAGGCUUAAUACAUGCAAGUCGAGGGGCAGCACGGGUAGCAAUACCUGGUGGCGACCGGCAAACGGGUGCGGAACACGUACGCAACUUUCCUCUGAGCGGGGAAUAGCCCGGGGAAACCCGGAUUAAUACCCCAUAAUAUAAUCGGUAAGCAUUUGCUGAUUAUUAAAGAUUUAUCACUCAGAGAUGGGCGUGCGCCUGAUUA
rnacentral:rRNA from 1 species